rnacentral:lncRNA from 1 species
GUAUAUUUAGGGACUAAAUUGUGAAUUAAGGCUUUUUUUCCCUUAUCUUCUUUUUCCAUUUUAUUUCAUAUUAAUGCAUAUUGCAUUGCCUCGUCCUUUUCCUACCUCGGUCAAGCCCCCACGUUCUUCAACACUCUUGGCUAUUUCCACGCCACCCUUUCUGCUUCCCCAAGACCAUGUAAUCAUUGUGUCUUGGAACACACUCCACC